AUGCCAGCACUCAACAUGACAUUCGAAACUGAUGCUCUUGCACACAAAUUUUAUAAUGAAUAUGCAGCAAUCACAGGUUUUUCUAUACAGAAGGUUGGAAACUAUCAUUGCAGAAAAAAAGAUGGCGACAACAACAGAAUGACAAGGUUCACAAUGAAGUGCAAUAGGUCUGGCAAACCUAGAAACAAAAGGAAAUCAACCGCUACAGGAGCUAAAAGGAGGAAGUACAAAGAAGGUCAAAAUGCACCUACUGAACUAGAGAAUACAACUGAUAGACGAAGAAACUACACAAUCAAGACAGAGUGUCCAGCUCAGAUGGUUGUUACCUAG
rnacentral:rRNA from 1 species